AUUAAUUCUUUCCUUCUCAAUGAGAGAACCAUUGUUUAAAUUUGGACAAGAACACACCUUACAUGAGCCUUCUUCAGCCAGCUUGUCUCUUGCAAAUAAUUAAAACCUGACUACUUGCUACACCAGUUGAGUGAGGCUCCUAACCCAGUGCUAAUAGAAAACGACGUGACAGAAACGCCUUUGUCCUUCACUGUUGCGAGAACUCCAUCUUCCAGUGCAGGUGGUGGGACUACAUAAACAGCAGCUCCAAGACCACCGAAUGGACAGGUUGCAUGCUUCUCCUUACAAUUUGGGCCAUUCUCUUCACCGUUUUACUCUCUGCUAGCAAUGUAACUAUGUGUUUUGUCAUUGGGGUACUUGAUGCAUAGACAGUGAUGAUUAUAAA
rnacentral:misc_RNA from 1 species